CUGGCUCAGGACGAACGCUGGCGGCACGCUUAACACAUGCAAGUCGAACGGAGUUAAUUUUGGUUUACUGAGAUUAACUUAGUGGCGGACGGGUGAGUAACACGUGAGCAACCUGCCUCUGAGAAAGGGAUAGCUUCUGGAAACGGAUGGUAAUACCUUGUAACAUAACGGAGCCGCAUGACUUUGUUAUCAAAGAUUUAUCGCUCAGAGAUGGGCUCGCGUCUGAUUAGAUAGUUGGUGAGGUAACGGCUCACCAAGUCGACGAUCAGUAGCCGGA
rnacentral:rRNA from 1 species